GCCGAGGUGGCGGAAUGGCAGACGCGUAGGUCUCAAAAACCUAUGGGGCCUUAAACCUCAUGUGGGUUCGACUCCCACCCUCGGCACAA
rnacentral:tRNA from 4 species